rnacentral:rRNA from 1 species
AUUGAACGCUGGCGGCAGGCCUAACACAUGCAAGUCGAACGGUAACAGGAAGCAGCUUGCUGCUUCGCUGACGAGUGGCGGACGGGUGAGUAAUGUCUGGGAAGCUGCCUGAUGGAGGGGGAUAACUACUGGAAACGGUAGCUAAUACCGCAUAAUGUCGCAAGACCAAAGAGGGGGACCUUCGGGCCUCUUGCCAUCGGAUGUGCCCAGAUGGGAUUAGCUUGUUGGUGGGGUAACGGCUCACCAAGGCAACGAUCCCUAGCUGGUCUGAGAGGAUGACCAGCCACACUGGAACUGAGACACGGUCCAGACUCCUACGGGAGGCAGCAGUGGGGAAUAUUGCACAAUGGGCGCAAGCCUGAUGCAGCCAUGCCGCGUGUAUGAAGAAGGCCUUCGGGUUGUAAAGUACUUUCAGCGGGGAGGAAGGGAGUAAAGUUAAUACCUUUGCUCAUUGACGUUACCCGCAGAAGAAGCACCGGCUAACUCCGUG